rnacentral:rRNA from 1 species
GACGAACGCUGGCGGCGUGCUUAACACAUGCAAGUCGAACGGGCCUGUCUUCUUUUUUGGGGGUGGGUUGAGUGGCGAACGGGUGAGUAUCACGUGAGUAACCUGCCCUUCGGUCCUGGAUAACCGCUUGAAAGGGCGGCUAAUACGGGGUGGUCCGGUUGGUCCGCAUGGGCUGGUCGGGAUAGAUUCACUGUUUUUGGUGUUUCGGCGGGGGAUGGGCUCGCGGCCUAUCAGCUUGUUGGUGGGGUGAUGGCCUACCAAGGCGGUGACAGGUAGCCGGCCUGAGAGGGUGGGCGGCCACACUGGGACUGAGAUACGGCCCAGACUCCUGCGGGAGGCAGCAGUGGGGGGUAUUGCACAAUGGGCGGAAGCCUGAUGCAGCGACGUCGCGUGAGGGAUGGAGGCCUUCGGGUUGUGAACCUCUGUUUCCGGUGGUGAAGGCCCUGUCCGUGUGGUGGGGUUGACGGUAGCCGGGGAUGAAGCGCCGGCUAACUACGUG